rnacentral:lncRNA from 1 species
CCUAAUUGAACUUGAACUUGGAGUACAACUCCUUAAACUAUAAGGAUCCUCCCCAACUCCACUAGCAACCGCAACAUCACCCCAAGUUAAAUCGGGGUCACCUUCAAAUACUUCUUCAUCUUCACAAUUUUCGGGGACUAUUAGCCACUCAUUAGCGUCAUCAAUAUUGUCCAGAAGAAUUGGAUCCAUUAUAUUGCGGUGGUUGUAGCGACGCUUCAAUGCUCUAUUGUAUUUUACAAACACUAGAUUAUGGAGGCGCUUCAUGGUUAGUCGAUUCCUUUUCUUUGUAUGAAUCUGCAAAAAUGAUGUGUCAACUAAUUAGUAGGAGUUUGGACAAUUGAGAUAUAAUUUACUUUAUCUCA